UGCUGGGAUAGCGGAGGACCUCGCCUCUUGCUCCAGGUGUCAUGGCGACGAACAUCGAGCAGAUUUUCCGUGAUUUCGUAAUGAAUAAAAUCAAAGAAAUUCAAGACGAAGAGCAACACACCGGUGUGGAGAGCGAUGCCCAGCCAAAUGGAGGUGUGAUGCCUGAUUUGGAUAAGCAAGAUGCCAGAGAUGAGGCUCCUGGGAUCGAAGGAAACCAGGAAGAGCUGACCCAGACAACAGAAAGUGUUCAGUCCGGAACUGUUGAGGCGCAAGAGAGCUCUCAGCCUGAUACAGAAGCCAAUGUGAUUGCACAGAGCUCGCAGGCUGGAGAAGAGAGUGGCAGCAAAGAAGGGAGCGAGACCCCCAGGAAGAAGAACAAGAAGCAUAAGAGACACAAGAGCAAGAAGAAGAAGAAGAAACGGAAGGAGGAGAAGAGGUCCCGCUCCCGAUCGGGUAGCAGCUCGGAGUCUGGAGUGGAGUCUGACUCGGAACUGCGGUCACGCUCCAGUGUGAAGAGUGCCAAUGUGAUUCCUACUGUGAAGGAGACUGGGGCCAGCGAAGAGGCUCCCAUCGCCCACAGGGCACAGAAGGAGGGAGAGAUUGAGCAAACAAUGGAACAGGACCCUUCUGGGACUGCAGAGGAACAAGGGAACACACAGCCAGCUGGAGAAGAGAGUGGUGGUGAAACACACAGAAGCAAAUCCAAGAAGCAAAAAAAGCAUACAAACAAGAAAAAGAAAAAGAAGAAAAAAAAGGAGGAGAAAGAAGAGAAGAUAUCACGAUCUCGCUCGAGAUCGGAGAGCACUUCAGGAUCUGGGACAGAUUCUGAAUCUGAAUUAAAAAGGUUUUCGUUGGAUUCUCUGUUAAACUCCUCAGACAGCCAGGUGGACAGGCCUGGUGCUGCUGUUGAUAAAGUGGUUAACACUUGUACGUCGCUGGAGCCAAGACUUGAAAAGGAUUUAAGUCCUCCAACAGGGGUGGUAUCUGACACUAGUGUCACUGAAAUGCAACUUCCAGCAGGCAUUACAGAAGUUUCCACCUCAAAACAAAAUGGUUGUUCAUCAGGAGAGAUUGUCAUUGCCCCUGUUCAUGCAGAUGUUUUCGACUCUACUAAAGGUAAGGACUCUGAUUUUGUUGUGAAACCUGAGGAAAAGCAAGCUGAACUUGUUAAAGAGACUGAAACAAAGAAAGACAUGAGUAACCCGCUGGCAGUUAAAAGAGAAAGCAGUGAAGUGAAAAAGACGAGAGAGAGUCUUUCAAGGUCUCGAUCCCGUUCAGGAUCCAAGAAACACAGCUCUAGACAGACCCCAUCUAAGAAGAGUCGUAGCCGGUCAAGGAGCCGGCAAUGUGCUUUAGGAAAGUUUAGCUCAAGAAGGGGUCGUUCCUCGUCAAGAAGGCGAUCAAGGUCGACUUCCAAAAAGGUGCGAAGUCAAUCUUCAACCAAGUCUGAAAAAAGGCAUUCCAGAUCAAGAUCAGUCAAGCGUAGGUCGAGAUCCCGGUCUCACCUAAAGUUAAGCCGUAAGUCGAGAUCGGUAUCCUUUAAAAGGUCUAAGCGCUCAAAAUCUAGGUCUCGCACAAGAAACAGAAGGUCUAGGUCUAGAUCGGUCAGGCGUAAGCACUCAAAAUCGAGAUCCCAAUCACGAAACAAGCGCUCAAGGUCAAAAUCGAGGUCUAGAUCACCAAGACGAAGAAAGCGAACACGUUCUAGAUCCCAACAUAGAACCAGACGGUCAAAAUCUAGAUCCCACUCAAGAACCAGACAGUCUAAAUCUAGGUCUAUCACAAGGAACAGGCGUUCAAGAUCUAGAUCACCCAGACGAAUCAAGCGAUCUCGUUCCAGAUGCAUAGUAAGAAACAGACGUUCAAAAUCUAGGUCACCCAGGAGAAACAGGAGGUCUAAAUCUAAGUCACCUUUGCGAAGCGGGCACUCAAAAUCUAGAUCCCUCAAGAAAAGUAGGAGGACAAGGUCUAGGUCUCCCAGGAGAAACAGGCGCUCAAAAUCUCGAUCCCCCAGGAGAAACAGGCGCUCAAAAUCUCGAUCCCCCAGGAGAAACAGGCGCUCAAAAUCUCGAUCCCCCAGGAGAAACAGACGCUCAAAAUCUCGAUCCCCCAGGAGAAACAGGCGCUCAAAAUCUCGAUCCCCCAGGAGAAACAGGCGCUCAAAAUCUCGAUCCCCCAGGAGAAACAGGCGCUCAAAAUCUGGAUCCCCCAGGAGAAACAGGCGCUCAAAAUCUCGAUCCCCCAGGAGAAACAGGCGCUCAAAAUCUCGAUCCCCCAGGAGAAACAGGCGCUCAAAAUCUCGAUCUCUCAGGAGAAACAGGCGCUCAAAAUCUCGAUCCCCCAGGAGAAACAGGCGCUCAAAAUCUGGAUCCCUUAGGAGAAAUAGGCGCUCAAAAUCUGGAUCCCCUAGAAGAAAUAGGCGCUCAAAAUCUAGAUCUCCAGCAAGACGCAUGAGGUCUAAAUCUCUUGGGAGGAAUAGAUCUAGAUCAAAAUCGCAGAGACGAAAUAAGCGAUCAAAGUGUAGCUCCCUAGACAGACAUAGGAGGUCUAAAUCUAAAUCACCCAAACAAAAAAGACACUCAAAAUCUAAGUCUCCCAAAAGAAACAAGCGUUCAAAAUCGAAGUCUCCUACAAGAAACAAGCUCUCCAGAUCUAGAUCCCCCUCAAAGGACAAGAUGUCUGAAUCUAGAUCCCCCUCAGAGGACAAGAGGUCCCAAUCUAGAUCCCCCUCAGAGGACAAGAGGUCCCAAUCUAGAUCCCCCUCAGAGGACAAGAGGUCCCAAUCUAGAUCCCCCUCAGAGGACAAGAGGUCCCAAUCUAGAUCCCCCUCAGAGGACAAGAGGUCCCAAUCUAGAUCCCCCUCAAAGGACAAGAGGUCCCAAUCUAGAUCCCCCUCAAAGGACAAGAGGUCCCAAUCUAGAUCCCCCUCAAAGGACAAGAGGUCCCAAUCUAGAUCCCCCUCAAAGGACAAGAGGUCCCAAUCUAGAUCCCCCUCAGAGGACAAGAGGUCCCAAUCUAGAUCCCCCUCAGAGGACAAGAGGUCCCAAUCUAGAUCCCCCUCAAAGGACAAGAGGUCCCAAUCUAGAUCCCCCUCAAAGGACAGGAGAUCUGAAUCUAGAUCGCCAGAAAGAAGCAAGCUCUCAGGAAGUAAAUCACCGACCAAAGAGUCUAACUCUGGAUCCCCUGCCAAAGACCAGUGUUACAAACCUAUAACCCCAUUAAAAAUGGAAACAUCUACUUCCCCCAAACCAGAAAGGACGUUGGGAUCAGUGUCUCCAACAACAGAUAUAUCUACAGGACCUCUUUGUGCAAUGAUGGAAGAAGACUCAGUGCCACAAUCUUUUGCAGCAGACAGAUUUUCAAAGUCUGGCUCUCCCAUUAAAGUUGAUUGCUCAGAAUUAGAAUUUCCAGUGACCAAUUCAUCUUCUCUUGUGAACAGAAGAUGCAUAGAAGUUUCUUCACUGAUUAAAGACGUAAAGUCUAAUAUUAUGACAGACACUACUUGGGCAGCAUUAUCCCCUAUGAUAGCAAACUGUUUAACAACUGAAAGCACCACAGUAGAUGAGCAUCCAGUAAGAUCGGCAUCUCCCUCAAUAGAUAGUAGUUAUAAAACCAGUUCUUUGUUGAGGGAAAAGUCCCCACCAUCUGUAUCCUCAGAGUUUUCUGAAAGUGGGUCUCCAAAACCACAGCAGUGCUCAAGAUCGGAAUCCCCAGUAACAGAAAAGGACUUGACUCCUAAAUCGCCUCCCUCUAUAGGCCAACCUUUAACAUCCCCUUUGACCCAGACUUUUGAGCUGAAACCUGAAUUUACCAUGUCAGACAAGUGCUUUAAAUUUGAAUCCUCCCAGUCAGACAGUAACUCACAAUCCAAAUCGCCAGCAACACAGAGUCAUUCGAGAUCUGCAUCACCAGUAAAUGUUGAGUCCUCUAAAUCUCGGUCCCCUACAUCAGAUCGGUGUUCAAAAUCCGAGUCCCCUACAAGGGAAGAUAUUUCAGUAUCAACUCCUGCUGACAGACAAUCUGAGUCUAAACCUCCAGUGGCAAACAUUUUUACAGGGUGUAGUACUCCCUGUAUAGGGCAACCUCAAAGUUCUUGCCCCCCUAAAGCAGAGAUGCCUUCAGAAUCUUUAUCCCCAGCUCGAGGCACUUGUUCGCGACCUCUAUCUCCGGCAGCGGAGGAUUGUCCAACAUCUGUGCCGGAGACAGACGGAUGUCCAAAAUCUCCCAUUACAGAAAAGCAUUCAAAAUCCCCAGGGCGAGAACAGAGCUCAAAAUCUAAAUCUCCUGCAGAAAGUGCAUGUAUUAAACCUGAAGUGCCUACAAAAAUGAAUCGUUCAAAAUCUCGGUCUCCUUCGACGAACACAAAGUCCUCCACUAGAAACAAGAGUUCAAAAUCUAGAUCCCCCUCAGUAAAGAAACACUCAAAAUCCUCCAAGCAGAAGAAGUGUUCCAGGUCUGGAUCUCCUGCUAAAAAGUCAAAGUCUCCAUCAAGGAGGAAGAGAUCUAGAUCCCCAGUGAGAAAGAAACAUUCCAAAUCUAGAUCUUCCAGUCAGAAGAAGAGGUCUAAAUCGAGAUCACCUGCAAGAAAGAAGAGAUCAAAAUCUAGAUCCCCCAUAAGAAGAAAGAGGUCUAGGUCCGCUACAAGAAGGAAGCGAUCAAAAUCCAGAUCCCCUAAAAGAAGACGAUCAAAAUCCAGAUCACCUGUUAGAAAGAAGCGGUCAAAAUCCAGGUCCCAUGGAAGGAACAGACGUUCAAAAUCGAGAUCGCCUGCAAGAAGAAAAAGGUCAAGAUCUAAAUCCCCUGCAAAGAAGCGCUCAAGAUCAAGAUCAGCCACUCGAGCAAGGCGCUCAAGGUCCAAGACUCGCUCUGUCUCAAGACCCCGAAGGAAGUCGCGCUCAGUGUCCCGAGACAGGAGGUCUCGCUCUGCAGAGAGGAGGAGGAGGAGGAGAGCCAGGUACCGGAGCAGGUCCAUCGAGCGCUGGAGGAGGUCCAGGUCCUUCAACAGGAGGAGGGUCUCCAGAUCUCCGGUGCUGCUGCUGAGGAGGAGAAGGUCAAUAUCCAGGACCCGGAGGAGCCCCAGCAAGACCCCUCCACGCCUCACAGAGCUGGAUAAGGCCCAGCUGCUAGAGAUAGCGAAAGCUAACGCUGCUGCCAUGUGUGCUAAGGCUGGUGUGCCCAUACCCCAGAGCCUGAAACCUACUGUCAUAAUGCAGCUGCCGUUACCACUGCCAAUCCCCCCGCCUGUUGAGGAGAAGAAGAAGGUGGUCCAGAAAGUGACCAACAGCACCAUUCUGGAGCUCACAGAGAAGUGCAAGCAGAUUGCAGAGAGCAAGGAGGACGAGAAUGAGGUGUUGAACAAGCCGCACGUGUCUGAUGAUGAAGAGGAGGAGCAGCCCUUCGGAGGCCAGGGUGCCAGGCUGGGAGAGCUCAAGGGCAUUUCCUUCAGUCUCAGUAACCCCUCGGUGAAGCCGGCUGCCAGGACGGAGGUGGCACUGACCAAGGACUUCCCAGUGUCCUCGGGCUCGCAGCACAGGAAGAAGGAGGGAGACGGUGCCUAUGGGGAGUGGGUUCUUGUCGACAAGGGGGCGGAGAAGGAAAGCAAGGACAACGUCUUCACAGACACACCUGUACAGCCUGUGGACAUCACACUGGCAAUGAACGAGAGAGCCGUGGCACAGAAGAAGCUGGCAGAAAACCCCUUCGAUAUCAACGCCAUUUGUAUGCUGAGUCGAGCACAGGAGCAGGUGGACGCGUGGGCCCAGUCCAGCAACCUGCCAGGCCGCUUCACAGGGAGCACCGGCGCCCAGGUCCUGUCUGCAGAAGAGCUCUCCUCCAGUGGACCCCAAGCCUGGAUACGAAAGGUAACCCUCCACUCCACAGCCAUCCCGGCUUCAUAGAACCUGUGAUCGGUAACCCUUCACCUGCAACUCGCAGGGCAUCUCCAGUGGUUAGACAGCCCAUAGGCAUCAGAUCUGCAGAUGCUCAAUAAAGAACAGGGCACACAUCUAUCACACAGCAGGGAAGCACAGCUUGAUGACACAGGCAGUACACAUACUGCUUACCAUGCCAUGCAAUAACUACAUAAUCGUCUCACAAAUGUAUUUUUGAGAGACUAAAACUAGAUGACUAAUGGAGGCAGUACACAUAGAAUAAAUACAGUGACAGUGUGCUUUCUGCUGCAUGCAGAAGAUGUUUCAUAUCUGGGAAGUUUUUCUUGGUGUGGUGUUGAUACAGUGUAAUAAUAAUGUUUAUAUUGCCUUGUGUGAAACAUGUCCUGUUUAAAGUGGGUUGCUUGUGCACACUAACAUUAUGAAGUUGGAAAUGGCCAGCUUUAUUAUAAAACCUGCCUUUGUAUAAAAGAGUGCUGGUAGUGUGAAAUUUAUGUUUUUACUCCUUUAAAUCUGGGUUAAUAUCUCUUGAUUUGAAAUGGGAUUUUGUGAAAUGAAUUGGGGUGAGAUAAUAGAGGGUGGGGUGAAUAAGGGGAUAAAUCCUUCUAUCAAAAUAAUUUUUUGCAAUACCUGCAUCUCACUGUGUGUUUUAAUUACAAAAUCAAUUUUUGAUAAGCAGCACACGUUUAGAUUUGAGAGUAGAAACCUCAAUGUUUUCCUGUCUCAGUUGAGCACCCCACAGCUGUACUUCAGAAACAUUCACUUCACAAGUUAGUUUGUUCUGUUUUUACCCAAGUUCUGACUCCUGCUUUCUGAGCCCAGCCCCUGUUCAGUGGUGUUUAACCCUGUCUCGAGAUCUCCUGAUGUCUGUUUCAUGUAUUUUCAUUGAUGUAAACAGUUCACUAAUCUCUGGCUCUACUUCAGUUUAUUUUUUAAAGUCCAUUGUUUGGUUUUCAUGAAAGAAGAGCAGAACUCUAGAACUUUGGUCAAAUGUUGCACUUAGGUUUUUGCCAAGUGCGUUGAUUCUAUCACUGGAGUCAAUUGCCACCCCUUGUAAGCCUUCAUCAUAUUGGACAGUUCAGUUCCUGUUUAGGUGCUGAGCUGCUAACGGCCAGGUUGAAAUAUUUGAAUAAUUUAACCACAGUGAUUAUACAUUCCUGUGGGUGGCAUUUGUGUGCCACUUGAUGCCAUUUUAAAGAUGUGUCUGUGGUUUCAUGAAGACCAGCAUUUUUGAUCUCUCAGAUGUUUUAGUUUGUGAACUGGCAACACCACUGAAGAGAAUGAAACAGAUGUUGAUGUUGAAAUUCUAUCAAAGCAGGUACAAAACGGGAUGGGAACCCCUGGGCCCCUGUGACUGGGGGUUUGUGUCAGGCUCUGCAUGGUGGCCUCUUUGGUAUAAAGAGGUUCCUUGGGAAAGAGGGGAGGAGGAAAGCUGGAAGUAAGUACCCCCGUAGCACCGCCCACUGCCAGCUGUACUGACUGAGGCUACCACAGCUGCUGUGAAGAUGAGGGGGUUCCUAGCAGAGCGCCAAACUGGGCAAGAGGUGGACCUGACCUGAAAUGAAAAGGCAUCCUGUGUUUCCAUGAGCUCUGAUCCUCCUAGUAUCCCUCCCCAAAAUCACCCAGGCUUUUUGAAAUGCUUGAGUGUUUUAUAUACACACCUUCUGUUGUGCACUCAGCUUUGCACCGGUAACAUGAACACAUUCAAAUCGAACAGACAUGCAUUAUAAACUGUGUCACUAUGUGCGGUUUGUGGCGUUUACAAUGAAAUGUGGGUUGUCAGCAUUUUGACUAUAAAGAACAGACACCUGGCUACUUGGCAAUUUUAGUAGUGGUCUCUAGUAAAGGGGGUGUGUGUCUGUUUCGGGUGGGUUGGGUAGAGGAGAGAGGUGAAUGUUCACAGACUGACCUGUGAACUUUCACCCCUCUGUAUGGAAACUUGUUGCAGGGUCAAUCCUUGUAGCUGCCUUGUUGCCAUGGUCACUGUCAGGCCCUUCUAAUCACAACAGACCACGGCCGCUGAGGCCUAGGACCAGUUCCUGCGGGC